AACGAACGCUGGCGGCAUGCCUAACACAUGCAAGUCGAACGAGACCUUCGGGUCUAGUGGCGCACGGGUGCGUAACGCGUGGGAACCUGCCCUUAGGGUCGGAAUAACUCCCCGAAAGGGGUGCUAACACCGGAUCAUGUCUUCUGACCAAAGAUUUAUCGCCUUUGUAUGGGCCCGCGUUGGAUUAGCUGGUUGGUAGGGUAAAAGCCUACCAAGGCGACGAUGCAUAGCUGGUAUGAGAGGAUGAUCAGCGACACUGGGAGUGAGACCCGGCCCAGACUCCUACGGGAGGCAGGAGUGGGGAAUGUUGGACAAUGGGCGAAAGGCUGAUCCAGCAAGGACGCGUGAGUGAUGAAGGCCGUAGGGUUGUAAAGCGCUUUUAACCGGGAUGAUAAUGACAGUACCGGGAGAAUAAGCUCCGGCUAACUACGUG
rnacentral:rRNA from 1 species